rnacentral:rRNA from 1 species
CCUACGGGUGGCAGCAGUGGGGAAUAUUGCGCAAUGGGGGAAACCCUGACGCAGCAACGCCGCGUGAAGGAUGAAGGUUUUCGGAUUGUAAACUUCUUUGAUUGGGGACGAAGAAAUGACGGUACCCAAAAAACAAGCCACGGCUAACUACGUGCCAGCAGCCGCGGUAAUACGUAGGUGGCGAGCGUUGUCCGGAAUUACUGGGUGUAAAGGGCGUGUAGGCGGGGAUAUAAGUCAGAUGUGAAAUCCCGGGGCUCAACUCCGGAGCUGCAUCUGAAACUAUAUUUCUUGAGUGCUGGAGAGGAAAGCGGAAUUCCUAGUGUAGCGGUGAAAUGCGUAGAUAUUAGGAGGAACACCAGUGGCGAAGGCGGCUUUCUGGACAGUAACUGACGCUGAGGCGCGAAAGCGUGGGGAGCAAACAGGAUUAGAUACCCCUGUAGUC